rnacentral:rRNA from 1 species
UAACGCGUUAAAUCGACCGCCUGGGGAGUACGGCCGCAAGGUUAAAACUCAAAUGAAUUGACGGGGGCCCGCACAAGCGGUGGAGCAUGUGGUUUAAUUCGAUGCAACGCGAAGAACCUUACCUACUCUUGACAUCCAGAGAACUUACCAGAGAUGCAUUGGUGCCUUCGGGAACUCUGAGACAGGUGCUGCAUGGCUGUCGUCAGCUCGUGUUGUGAAAUGUUGGGUUAAGUCCCGCAACGAGCGCAACCCUUAUCCUUUGUUGCCAGCGGUUCGGCCGGGAACUCAAAGGAGACUGCCAGUGAUAAACUGGAGGAAGGUGGGGAUGACGUCAAGUCAUCAUGGCCCUUACGAGUAGGGCUACACACGUGCUACAAUGGCAUAUACAAAGAGAAGCGACCUCGCGAGAGCAAGCGGACCUCAUAAAGUAUGUCGUAGUCCGGAUUGGAGUCUGCAACUCGACUCCAUGAAGUCGGAAUCGCUAGUAAUCGUAGAUCAGAAUGCUACGGUGAAUACGUUCCCGGGCCUUGUACACACCGCCCGUCACACCAUGGGAGUGGGUUGCAAAAGAAGUAGGUAGCUUAACCUUCGGGAGGGCGCUUACCACUUUGUGAUUCAUGACUGGGGUGAAGUCGUAA